GCGCGCACCGUGCGUCUUGUUCCGGGUGAGACUUUCGCGCGGAGUUGGUCGGCGUGUCCGCGCGCCUGCGCGUGCUGUUUGUGGGGAAGAACGGGGCCUCCGUGUGGUGAGGCCUCCGUGUGGUCGGGCAUCCGUGGGCGCACUCAUGCGCGCGCGUGUGCCUAUAGACCGUGAGCCGACGGGUCUGUGGCCGGGGCGCGUCCGGGAGUGCGCGCGCGAGUCUCUGCGCCCCAAUCUAGAGACGUUUCCUGAGCGCCCCCUGCGACGCACUGGCACCUCGAGGCCGGUCUGGCUACAGGCCCUGCCCUGAUUGUGGGAGCCAGACUGACCUACCUGGCAGUUAGCAAAUGAACCUGUGGUGGUGAGGGCCCUGCCCAGAGAGCAAGGGGCCACUAGGAGGAGGUGAAGUUUGAGUGGAGACCUGGAGGUCAACCUGGCAGAGCGGAGGGAAAAGUUUUCUGAGAAGAGGAAACUACAUGUGCAAAGGCCCAGAGGUUGAAGGAGGGCCAGAGCUUGGCGAGUGAGUAACUUCCCAACUCCUAAUCUACUUCUGGCUCCACACCCAGCAGCUUUGCCUUCUCUGGCAUUAGCCCUGCUGUUACCAGCCAAUGAACAUAAUGUAUCUUACAGGCCACGUUGAGCCAGGGAUGAGCACAAGACCACAGAGCCUGUCUCGGGACUUUGGUUGGGAAGAUUGGGAAGGAGGCCACCUUUGAGGGCUGGGAUUGCUGAGAAUUGAUGAUGGAGUAUGGGGCCUGCCUUGCAUCUGGCCCCAGCUUGAACUCCCUGCUCACUGUCUCACUACCCCAUGCUGAAUAAGUAGCAUUGCACCCUCCUCUGUGUGCCCCAAGCCCUGGGCUUCUCAUCUCCUGAGAGUACAACAAACACACAAUUGAAGUAUUUUCUUAUUUAUCUUCCUAUGCACCCUGAAAACUGGACCUGUGUAGUGCUCACCUUGACCCCAGAACUCACAAUAGAAACUAAAAACUCUGUGUGGCCUCACAGCCUGCCCUUGGGAGAAUAGCUUACAGGCAAGUCCCCAACUCAGCCCUGCCACAGCACAGAUGGGACAGCAACACAGAGCCAACAGUUACAUCAGCUCUCAGACCUGGCCACUUCCAUCAGAGCACUUGGCAAUUCCACAGAAGCAUAAGAGCAUCAACUUCUUGGAAACAGGAAUUAGCCAAGAAAACAGGUUAAUGAAAAACAAUAAAUUUAUGUUCCCUGUAGAAAUGUCUAUCACUGAAUGAACUGUGACUACCUUAACUGUAAGGUCUCCCUGUUGCCUGGCUUACCACUGCCUACAUCAUUCUCUCUCCCUCUCUCUCUCUCUCUCUCUCUUUUAAGUUUAUUUAUUUUGAGAUAUAUAUAGAGAAUCCCAAGUAGCCUCUGCACCAUCAGCAUGGAGCCCGACACUGGUCUUGAACCCGAGAACCGUGAGAUCAUGACCUGAGCUGGAAUUGAGAGUUGGACACUUAACUGACUGAGCCACCCAGACUCCCCAUCACUGCCUGAUACAUAUACUUACCUGCUUAUUUGUUUAUUGUCUUCCCUUUACCAGUAGUUAAGUUCUGUUCCUGCUGUAUCCCCAACACCUAGAACAGUGCUCAGCAUUGGUAAGUGUUCAGAAUUAUUUGCCAACUAAACAAAUGAAUAAACAACUAGAGUCUCAGGGCACCUGGCUGGCUCAGUCAGUAGAGCGUGCAACUCUUGAUCUCAGGGUCAUGAGUUCAAGCCCCAUGUUGGGCAUAGAGUUCACUUAAAAAUAAUUAGAGUCUUUAUGUUGCACACUUACUAUGCACUGGACACAUUUAAUCCUCCUGACAACCCUAGGAGGUAGGUGUUAUUGUCUCUCUUUUACAGUUGAAGAAUCUGAGGUUUGGAGAGAUGAAGUGAUUUGAUGCAGGUCGACAAGGUAGUGAGUGUCCACAAGAACCUUAGUUUCCUUAGGUUAGUUUCCUUGAGUUUCCAUACUCAAGAUAUGGAACAAAGGAGGAGAAAUCCUUUUGUUCAGUGGCCCUUGAGCCUUCCAUCACAAUCUCACACCUCAAUGAUGAAGGUUUGACCAGGGAAGGAAACGCACUGGGAGACAGUCCCACUCAGCUUCAGAGCCUGGGAUGCAGGCAGGGAGCCCAAGGGCCAGCAGAGUACCCAAACAGACUCCAUCUCUGGCUGAGAUCUGGUUUCAGGCAGAAAGAUGAGAAAGCUGCACAUGGCUCCUCAGAGGAGUCCUGGGAUGAACACAGUAUCCAGAAACAGGUUGAUUGCUCCAUUCUUUCUGAUGUUUCUCAACACAGAGUCAGCCAUCGAAAUUAUUAGAACCUACUGGUUUUUUCAUGUGGAUCAAAAGUUUAAAUGUUAAAAACAACAACAAGAGUGAACUAUAAAAAUACUGAAGAAAAAAGGGAAAAGUUUGUAGAAUCUUGGAGUGAAGGGGGCCUUCUAAGUAUGUCACCAAACUCAAAAGGCAUAAAAGAAAAAAAAAUAAAAUAUGUAAAUUCAUUUAUAUUAAAUU